rnacentral:rRNA from 1 species
AUUGAACGCUGGCGGCAGGACUAAAACAUGCAAGUCGAGCGGAGCGGCGGACGGGUGAGUAAUGCCUAGGAAUCUGACUGGUAGUGGGGGAUAACGUCCGGAAACGGGCACUACUACCGCAUACUAUCAGAUGAGCCUAGGUGGGAUUAGCUAGUUGGGGGGGUAAAGGCCUACCAAGGCGACGAUCCUUAACGGGUCUGAGAGGAUGAUCAGUAAAACUGGAACUGAGACACGGUCCAGACUCCUAGGGGAGGCAGCAGUGGGGAAUAUGGGACAAUGGGCGAAAGCCUGAUCCAGCCAUGCCGCGUGUGGGAAGAAGGUUUUCGGAUUGUAAAGCACUUUAAGUUGGGAGGCGUUACCAACAGAAUAAGCACCGGCUAACUUCGUGCCAGCAGCCGCGGUAAUAC